UGAACGUGUGAAACGGGCAGCUGCUAACGAGGAGAAGCAUGAGCCAAACUGGCGAAGAUAUGACGUAAAGGUCGUCAGAACUUGUGAUCACUACAAAAACGCCAUCAGGCUAAUGAAUCAAUAUCAGACCGGCUGCAACACCUCUGAGCUACAGUCUGGGGCAGAGCAGGAGGGUGAGCUGCCAGAGAAACGAGUCAGGAAGCCAAUCAGCCAUCAUUUUGGGGACUCUGAUGAGAGUGAAGAAGAGACAGAAAAUUGUGACUUAGCUUCUCUGAGGUCCCACGACCUUCCAACUCGGCUGGUGUAUCAGUUGGAUCCUCAAGCCCAAACCAAUUAAACUGCUCCACCAUCUCGCCGAGUGCCAGGCAGCAGAGUCACUACUCCUCAACCUGGAGGAAACUGUCUAGGGCCAUUGUUUGGCCCUGUAGCUCGCAGCAUACCAUUGGUUAACAGAUCACAACCAUUUAAUAGCAAUCUCUCUCCCUUAGCACCUGACCAUGGGGCUGGACCGCAACACCCUUCACCACCUCAACUCCCUGCACCUGCAUUUAACAUAAGGAGAGUUACUCAAGGGACGGCAGUCCCUCCUCAACUCCCUCCCCCCCCCGCACCAACCCUCAACAUGAGGCGAACAGAGGAUCCCUCUUCAAGCCUGGCCUACAGACCAACAUGCGGCUGAGGUCCACAUCCUUAGCCUGCUGGAGACCAUUAAACAGCAACAAGACCAGCUUGUGGCAAAGGUGAACUACCUCAGCAGCAGGCUGAACAGCAACCCCGGGGCCAGAUGCCGGACAAUAUCCAGAUUCCCCUGGAACAAUUGGAGGCAGUGGAGGCAUUUGAAAUGUUUUUAAAGGAACCGUCAAAUGGCCCAGCUCGACAGAGAGUGGUUGGCUCUGGAUGACCUGUAGACCUCUGCAUCUGCAAUCCAAAAGCAGCGUCACAUGCUUUUAGCAGUUGUCAGACCUCUCUAUUCAACCACGGCUUCUGGUUCGUGAAGGUCUUCAUUAGAUUAUGGGUGGUGACAUUGUUGAUGCAGAUGUUAAUGUAAUCUAGAACGUUGAAGCAUGUGUUUCAAUGUCCGUAUGGGAGUCAAGGGUGGCUUAAGUGGCAAACAGACUCCAGACUCUGUGUUGAAACUGGUGCUGUAGAAGUAAGUCUGACCCUUUUGACCACACUGACUGUCCUCACUGGUGGUUUCACACGUUUAAUGAGGGGUAAAUACUUGGGUAGUAGGAAUAUUGAGAGAUGGUCAGAUUCAUCCAGAUGGGGGAGGGGAAUGGCUUUGUAAGCCUCUGGAAUGUUUGUGUACACCUGGUCCACUGUAUUGCAUUUUGGUGGAAUUAAGGAAAAAUAAAAAAAGGCUUUCA